AUUCUCUCUCGUCAAAGUCUUUUAUUUAAGCAUGUCGAUAUCCGAUCAAAUGUAAGAUCCUGCAAAUCAUGACAUGAAUGAUUAAAUUACUGAUGAAUGAUGCUCAUUUCGUAACAUGGAAGAAAAAGAAACACCAGUAAUUCAUUCUUGCCUAAAUUUUCUUUUAUUGAAAAAGGCCAGGGUGCAAAUGUCAAAUAAAAAAAAAGAAAAUAAAAUAAAAGACAAGCAUAUUAUUAUUUCAAGCAUUUUAAUACAAACGUAAUAUAAACUAUUUCAGUCCCUCUUGACAUGUAAGACACUGACUCAAAAUACUUUGUUAUACCAUAUUUUAUCAAGUAUUGCACAAUGUAGGUACAAAAUUAAUAGAUACGAUUACAUUGUCCAUAAUAUAGCAAAAAUCUGUUGAACUCUUAACAGAAAAUACAACUUUUUGUUUCAAAAAAGCACAUAUUCCUACACUGAAAUCCCAACACUAAAGGAAUAUUCUGUACACAAUCUUUAGAAUUUUUUUAUCUGUUUUUAAAGAUGAAUUUCUUUAGCAAUUUAAAAAAAAAAAGAAAAACCAAAAUAUAUUAUAAGAUAAAGCUUCUGCAGCCAUCACAGAUCACUGGAGUAGUAAAAAGAUAUAAAUGCAAUACCAUGUUGUAGAAACAAUAUAUAUAUAUAUGCAUUAGUGCCAAUUUCUUAAAAAUCAGCCAAGUCUUACCAACUUUAAAAUACUGUAAGAGGCCAGAACUUGAAGCUUCUGUGUUUCCUUUUUUUUUUUUUUCAAUGUUUUAGAGUAUUUUUCUUCCAAAAGGUAGUAAAAAAAUCAUUUUUUGCUUUAUUGGCAAAAAAGGAAAAGAAAAGAUGCUUGUUGACCGAUGUAACUGAACUCGGACAUGUAAGUGUGUGUGUGUGUGUGUAGUGUGUGUGUCUGUCUCGGAGAGUGUGUGUGUGUGUGUGUGUGUGUGUGAGAGAGAGUAACACAAGCUUUUUAGUACAAACUCAAGGGGGCAGAGAAAGAUCGAAGGGAGAAAA